ACCACAGUGGUGUAAUGGUAGAGCACGUGUCCCCGGAUAGGAUGAAACGUGGGUUCGAUUCCCGCCUGAGGCGGUG